rnacentral:lncRNA from 1 species
UCAUUUAUAGCCUUAUAGGCUAGUACUAUCAAUCAUCUAGUGUAAUAUAAUACUCCAGCUCACCAGCUCUCCAGCUCUUCACUAUAAUAUAAAGCUCAUGGAUCACUCCUAUUUUAUUUAUAUUUGGAUAUACUAACUUCACAAAAUUGUUAAUAAAUUUAAGAUUUGUACCAAAGUCAUUGGUUGUUUGAGGCAUAACCCACUCCAUCCUACUCGAAUG